ensembl:lncRNA
CUUCUCUGAGCCUUGAUCCUUGCAGUUGCAGUUCAAGCAAACUGAAAGGACAAGACUCAGAACCUGAGGAUGAGGAAAGGUGACAGUGCCACAUCCAGCUGCUCCUGUGUGUUGCAGCAGCUGUGCAAACCAGACACCCAUCUACACCCAGCCAGCUCCAGUCUCUCCCAUGAUGUCAUUAAUGGGUGAGGUCAGUUCUGUCAGUGUGCAGUGUCCAAUGUGAGUGGAGGUCUAGGAGUCAAGCACGUCCAUCAGAGCACAGGUGCAGUAAGCUUGUAAUGGCAAGAGGAGCAGCUGUGCAAGCUUCCACUUCAAGACCCAG